rnacentral:rRNA from 1 species
GACGAACGCUGGCGGCGUGCUUAACACAUGCAAGUCGAACGGAAAGGCCCUGCUUUUGUGAGGUGCUCGAGUGGCGAACGGGCGAGUAACACGUGAGUAACCUGCCCUUGACUUUGGGAUAACUUCAGGAAACUGGGGCUAAUACCGGAUAGGAGCUCCUGCUGCAUGGUGGGGGUUGGAAAGUUUCGGCGGUUGGGGAUGGACUCGCGGCUUAUCAGCUUGUUGGUGGGGUAGUGGCUUACCAAGGCUUUGACGGGUAGCCGGCCUGAGAGGGUGACCGGCCACAUUGGGACUGAGAUACGGCCCAGACUCCUACGGGAGGCAGCAGUGGGGAAUAUUGCACAAUGGGCGGAAGCCUGAUGCAGCAACGCCGCGUGCGGGAUGACGGCCUUCGGGUUGUAAACCGCUUUCGCCUGUGACGAAGCGUGAGUGACGGUAAUGGGUAAAGAAGCACCGGCUAACUACGUG